rnacentral:rRNA from 1 species
UGGAUUUAUCCACUAGUGCCGUAGCUAACGCAUUAAGUAUACCGCCUGGGGAGUACACUCGCAAGGGUGAAACUCAAAGAAAUUGACGGGGGCCCGCACAAGCGGUGGAUCAUGUGGUUUAAUUCGAUGAUACGCGAAGAACCUUACCUGGGCUUGAACUGUGCCUGACAGGUGUAGAGAUACACUCUCCUUCGGGCAGGUACAGAGGUGCUGCAUGGUUGUCGUCAGCUCGUGUCGUGAGAUGUUGGGUUAAGUCCCGCAACGAGCGCAACCCUUACUCCUUGUUGCUAACAGGUGAUGCUGAGCACUCUAGGGGGACUGCCGGUGAUAAACCGGAGGAAGGUGAGGAUGACGUCAAAUCAUCACGGCCCUUAUGUCCAGGGCUACACACGUGAUACAAUGGUCGGUACAAAGAGAUGCAAUACCGCGAGGUGGAGCAAAUCUCAAAAAACCGGUCUCAGUUCGGAUUGUAGUCUGCAACUCGACUACAUGAAGUUGGAAUCGCUAGUAAUCGCAGAUCAGAACGCUGCGGUGAAUACGUUCCCGGGCCUUGUACACACCGCCCGUCACACCAUCCGAGUUGGCAGCACCCAAUGUGGCUGGUCUAACCCGCAAGGGAGGAAGGUCAUUAAGGUGAAGCUGGUAAGGAGGGUGAAGUCGUAACAAGGUAGCCG